UAGAGAGGACUCAGAAGCGAGGAUGACAAUCACAGCUCCUUUAAUAACAAAUGGCAGGAUGACCACAGGCAAAGAUGAGCAGAGAGCUGGAGCAGUAGGGACCCAGAAACCCUCAGGGCCGGGAUAGCGAGCAAUGAAGAAGGAACACAGCCUCAGACUCCUAGCAGACAGGACUGGACUGGACUCAGACAGAUGCACGCAUCGAAACUUACGAACAAACUGACAAC